GGGUUAUGGUUUUCGGAUUGUAACCUAGUGGCAAACGGCUGAGUAAUACGUAAGUAACCCGCCUUGGAGUGGGAAAUAACCUGCCGAAAGGCGAGCUAAUGUCCCAUGUGGUAACGAGGCGUAAGCUUCGUUACUAAAGCUUUCGGGCGCUCCAAGAGGGGCUUGCGUCUGAUUAGCUAGUUGGUGGGGUAAUGGCUUACCAAGGCUAUGAUCAGUAGCUGGUCUGAGAGGAUGGCCAGCCAGAUGGGGACUGAGACACGGCCCCAACUCCUACGGGAGGCAGCAGCAAGGAAUUUUGGGCAAUGAGCGAAAGCUUGACCCAGCGACACCGCGUGAGGGAAUAAGGCCUUCGGGUUGUAAACCUCUUUUCUUGGGGAAGAAUCUCGACGGUACCCAAGGAAUAAGCCUCGGCCAACUACGUGCCAGCAGCCGCGGUAAGACGUAGGAGGCAAACGUUAUUCGGAUUUACUGGGCGUAAAGGGAGCGUAGGCGGUUCCUCAAGUCGAAUGUGAAAUCUUCUGACUCAAUCAGAAGGCGCCAUUUGAUACUGGGGGACUUGAGAGCAGCAGAGGGAAAUGGAAUCCCCGGUGUAGCGGUGAAAUGCGUAGAUAUUGGGGAGAACACCAGUGGCGAAGGCGGUUUCCCAGGCUGUUUCUGACGCUGAGGCUCGAAAGCGUGGGAAGCGAAGCGGAUUAGAUACCCGCGUAGUCCACGCCCUAAACGGUGGACACUAGAUAUAGGAGGUAUCGACCCUUUCUGUGUCGAAGCUAACGCUUUAAGUGUCCCGCCUGGGGAGUACGG
rnacentral:rRNA from 1 species